AGCGUAACGCUGUUGGAGAUGAGAGGGCACAGCACAAUUUUGAGAGCCAAACAAAGGCGGGGCACAGAGCUGUUGCCUCGAGAUGUGUGGCCUCAGAAGGUCUUGUCGAGGAUUCAAGGAGAUUCAAAACCCGUGUCACUGCUGCCAUCUUCCUAGAAUCCCUUUAAAUCCUCAUGGAUUUGCUGACAUUGGGAGCAUCCUGAAAGAGUCCCCAUGCUAGGGUGGCUGCAGUAACAGGUUCUCCCCACUCCAGAAAAAAUCAAAUCAGAUUGUGAAUUUAUUCCCUGACAUUAACACACGGCAUUACAGGAGCAUGUACAUCACAUGGUCAAUUUAUUGGCAUGAGGAUUAUGUCAUCGGGGAAUAAAUGGGAAAUUCUCAAGGUACUUUGCUCCAGUAAUCAGGACUUUAUUUAUCUCUAAGCUAAAAGAGGGGAUUGACUUCUUUAAUGAUGAUCAGAAAAUGCUUUUAGGAAGAUUCCUUUCCUAUUAAACAAUUUCUUAAAGUUGCAGUAAAUGUUGUGUGGCUUGUCUAUGCCCAAGGCUUGGCAGCACACUUUCCUUUGUCUUCAAAACCAUGGGAAAGAAUGUCACAGGAGUCUUGGAGGAAAAAUAAUUACAAAGAGGAAAAGGUUG
rnacentral:lncRNA from 1 species